UAUGUAGGGUGCAAGCGUUAAUCGGAAUUACUGGGCGUAAAGCGUGCGCAGGCGGUUUUGUAAGUCUGUCGUGAAAUCCCCGGGCUCAACCUGGGAAUGGCAUUUGGGACUGCAAGGCUUGAGUGCGGCAGAGGAGACUGGAAUUCCUGGUGUAGCAGUGAAAUGCGUAGAUAUCAGGAGGAAUACCGAUGGCGAAGGCAGGUCUCUGGGCUGACACUGACGCUCAUGCACGAAAGCGUGGGGAGCAAACAGG
rnacentral:rRNA from 1 species